GUUAAAAAGCUCGUAGUUGGAUCUCGGCGGUCUGAGGGCGGUUCGCUUGAUUGAGUGCUACUGCUCUAUAGGCCGUGGUUUUGCCAGAGGUCUCGGGGUGCUCUUAACCGAGUGUCCUGCGAUGCUGGCAGGUUUACUUUGAAAAAAUUAGAGUGCUCAAAGCAGGCUUUUACGCCUGAAUAUUCGUGCAUGGAAUAAUAGAAUAGGAAGUCGUUUCUAUUUUGUUGGUUUUCGGAAAUCGACUUAAUGAUUAAUAGGGACAGUCGGGGGCAUUUGUAUUCAAACGACAGAGGUGAAAUUCUUGGACCGUUUGAAGACAAACUACUGCGAAAGCAUUUGCCAAGAAUGUUUUCAUUAAUCAAGAGCGAAAGUUAGAGGUUCGAAGGCGAUUAGAUACCGCCCUAGUUCUAACCAUAAACGAUGCCAGCUAGCGAUCUGCCGACGUUUUCUUUGUAGACUCGGCAGGAAGCUUCCGGGAAACCAAAGCAUUUGGGUUCCAGGGGAAGUAUGGUUGCAAAGCUGAAACUUAAAGGAAUUGACGGAAGGGCACCACCAGGAGUGGAGCCUGUGGCUUAAUUUGACUCAACACGGGAAAUCUCACCAGGCCCGGACACUGGAAGGAUUGACAGAUUGAUAGCUCUUUCUUGAUUCGGUGGGUGGUGGUGCAUGGCCGUUCUUAGUUGGUGGAGUGAUUUGUCUGGUUAAUUCCGAUAACGAACG
rnacentral:rRNA from 1 species